GAUGAACGCUGGCGGCGUGCCUAAUACAUGCAAGUCGAGCGAACAGACGAGGAUCUUGCUCCUCUGACGUUAGCGACGGACGGGUGAGUAGCACGUGGCUAACCUACCUAUAAGACUGGGCUAACUUCGGGAAACGGGAGCUCAUACCAUUAUAUUUAUAGAACCGCCUGGUUCUAUAAUGACAAACGGCUUUGCUGUCACUUAUUGAUUGAUCCUCGCCGCAUUAGGUGGUUGGUACGGUAAAGGGUUAACAAGGCAACGCUGCGUAGCCGAAAUGAGAGGGUGAGCGGCCACACUGGAACUGAGACACGGCCCAGACUCCUACGGGAGCCAGCAUUAGGGAAUCUGCCGCAAUGGGCGAAAGCCUGACGGAGCAACGCCGCGUGAGUGAUGAAGGUCUUCGGAUCGUAAAACUCUGUUAUUAGGGAAGAAAAAUUGUGUAAGUAACUAUGCACGGCUUGACGGUACCUAAUCAGAAAGCCACGGCUAACUACGUG
rnacentral:rRNA from 1 species